AUAGCAUCUAAAGAAUGCCUUUCACUUACACUGAAAAGAGAGUCUAUAAACUUAUUUUGA
rnacentral:tRNA from 1 species